GUGCUCGCUUCAGCAGCACAUAGACUAAAACUGGAACAUACGGAGGAGAUUAGCAUGGCCCCUGCGCAAGGAUGACACACGAAUCCGUGAAGUGUUCCAUAUUUUU